ACAAAGGAGAGAUGUUACCUGUAAAAACACUGCACUUUUCUUCAAAACAUUUUUAAUUCUAAAAAUGUUAGUGAGUUUUUAAAGAAGCCAGCUGAUAGCCUGUUCUCUAUUAUUUUUCUCAAUAUAUGUUUUAGAAAGAGAACUUUUGUUAUCCAUCUGCCCUUACAUAAGAAACUGGAGAAAUUAGCUUUGCAAGCAUGUCACAUCAUCAUUUGCAUUCUGUUGGCAGGGGAUAGAUGAGUAUUUUAGAGGAUGUGAGCUGUAAGUGUUUCAAAUAUUUGGGUUUUCAAAAAUGUAUACUUAAUUAUAAGAAUUGCCUUUUGCUUUAGCCAAUUCUGGGUAGCAAGAAUGAAAAGUCAGCACCUCUCAAGUGACCUCUAAGCAGGAAUAAGUAGCCCUUUUUUAACCCACUCUUAACCCUGUUGUUGUUCAUUUGUUUUGUUUACUGAAAAAGUAAAGUUAAAAUUUUUAAAAAAUGUGUCUGCAUAUGUUAAGCACAGCAAAACGCAAAAAAAGUAUAGGUGUUACAGGUGCUUUCAAGAAGCACUCUUUAAAAUCUUGUUUUUACCUUUUAGAUAUUUAGAAAAAUAUAACCUAUAAAUUAUCCCGAAUAGAUGACCAACAUCGAAACUUGAAAGUGCCAACAGGUGAUGCAGAUCAUGAUGUGUGCUUCCAUAUAAGAUAACAUCAAAAUGAAAUACCUGUGAAGUUUUUGUCGGUGUAAGCAGUGUCCAUUCUAAGUUUUCGUCUUAAACAUUUCUCUGUUAUUUAAAGAAAUGCAAUCUUUUCGCUGUUCUCAUUACGUGCCUUCUUUUUCGUCGUUGGUUUGUUACUGUGCUAUUGCUCCCAAUCCUUGAACUAACACAGUUGUUGGUUGUUGCAAUGCCUGAAGGGGUUAUGUUGGUAAAAUGACAUUUAGAAGGUUACUUAGGAGAGUUAGCAUCCUUAUUGCUUAUGAAAGAUUUAUUGACAGCAGCAUAGAUCAGACUACUCUUCGGUUUGGUUUUCCUGAUGUAUCCCAGAAUCCCUUGUUAUGCCUGAAUGCCAGCCAAAUGUUUGGCCAUUGGUUUUCACGGGACCGCAGUAAUGGCUGCUUCUCUGUGCGCGCAACAGGAAGACUGUAAAAGAAAAUAUUAAGGGUCUUUUGUCUGAAAAUAUUUCAAAUUUGAUUUAAGAGAUUCAGAGACCUGUUAUUUGUGGAAGGGAAGCUGCCAAUACAAAUAUGAGGUAGAUCGGUCAACUUACAUACAACUGAUUUGACAAGCAUCUGUUAUAAUACUGAAGAUUUGUAAACACUAAACAAUGUUUUUACCUCCUUAAAAGUUUUGAGAACUUGCCAGUAUUGGCAGGAGGCAGAGACUCUGAAACGUGCUUCAAGAUACAUGCCAAAACCAUUGUGGCCUUUUCACCUAUAAUGCGUUUUUUCUCGCUCUUUCUUUUAAAUUGUUAUAUUUUUUUCCUUUCCAGAAUGCCUUUUUUUCCCCCUAGAUGGUCAUAGAAAUUAGAUCUUCUUUUCCUUCUGAAAUUUGUGUGUAAUAAUUCUUGCUUUAUGUGUCCACCUUUCUUUGGUAGGAAGUUGAAAUCUCAGAACAUACGUGAGAAUACUAGAAGCAAAUGCAGAAUCAAUCUUUUUUUUUUUAAAGCGGAGGUGAUUUAUUCUAAGACUUAUUGACAUGCUAAAAUAUAAUACAUAAACUACAUUCCAGUUUUUUCCCUCUAAAUCCAGUGGCAUUAGAACUGUGAAUUUUGUGGCUGAUAAGCAGUAACAAGUGUAAUGAAAUUGGAGUGAUUUCAUAAGCCUGAGAAUUUCAUCUUGUUAAAAGAACAAAACCAUUUUAUGCCCUUAAUUUGGUCUCAAUUUGAGUUGUCCUUCCCAUGUAUCAUAUGACAACUUGGGGAUACUAUGGUAUUGUGGCAAAUGGUUUUCUUUGUGGGUGUGUAACAGUAAAGCUAAUUUAUGACCAGUCUUUACCAGAUGAUCUGUAUCAGAAUCUACAAUAUACCCGGCACGUGGCAAGGUCACAAUUUAAGUUGUUAAGGUCAUAACCUUAGCCACCAGGCAUUUGACCUUUUAGAUAAAGUUAACCUUUGUUCAUUAGUAGGCACUCAACCGAGAAGUUUCUGGAGAGUUGUUGUUUUUUUUUUUUUAACCACUUCUGUAUAAACUUCUGGUAAUGUAAUCAGAUUCUAGAAAGAUUCUCAGUCAAAUUAGUUAGAUUUUGUGAAAGGUUAUACUUUUUAAGGACUCAUUUCUUGGAUAGAGGCAGGUUGCUAUUUUUAGGCCAUAGAAUGACAGUUUCACAAUUUAUAUUUGAUAUUAUUACCUGCCAUGGGGUAGAAUAAAAGCUUGGAGGCAGCUGUGUGGGGACAUUUAAAAUCUAAAAUUAAACAAAUUAAUUUAUGUUUAAUUCAACUAAGGCCUUUGCUAAUUUUCAAGUGACAUUAGGCCUAAAAGCUAAAUCACAGUGAGCCAUCUUCACUUUUUGCAGAUGAGGAAUUUUCUAACAUUAGAAGUAUUUUUAGCAGUCUUAAAAUUCAGUUUGAAAGAUUAAUAAGUGACCACAAUUUGUCAGAGCACAGAACAAAUUAUUUGUUCCAUAAUUAUUUUUAAAAAGCAGAAAAUGUGUUUGUAACAUUUAAGAAAUGGCAUGGGAUUGUCAUAGAAACUCAUUCUGAACACUGUAAAUAAAAAUGGUUGGGGAUUAGUCACAGUAACAUGUAGGACAUCAUGAAAUUCAAGACAGAUUUCUUUGUCUAACAGUCAAUCCUGGUCUUGACUUUUAUUUGAGCUUUUUAUCUAGAAAAGAUGAUUUGGUGAUGAUGGAGUAAUAUAGUAACUGCUCUAGCUUAUAUGGUGUUUUUGGCAUGGUUACUUAAUCCUAAGCUCUGAGAGGCACAGGAAGUAAAAGAAAAGUUAAAGAUGACAAUUAAGGUGUUGGGCCCAGUUAGAUAUAGUGAAGUCAGAAUUUUCCCUCAUUAAAACUGUUAGACCAAUUUCAUUAGACGGAAAUGCACCCACAUAUGUAAAUCUUCUUUGUUUAAUUGGAGACCUAUUGAUUGUAGGUAACAUAAGCCUCUCUAAGGGAAACAGAACCCAACUGAAGAUAAGAGUUUCUUCCCCCCAACACAUACAGCAUUCAUGAUUUUAUUUCUCUAGGCGUGUUCAUUAUCAAAAUCAUUCUACUGCAGACUUUCCCAUAAAGUGUUUCUGUCUGGCCCUGUUUUCAUAUCUAAAAGCUUCUAGUGGUUUCAGCAAGAAAUGAUGGAAACAUUUUGACAGAAUAUAUAUUUCUUUUUUUAAAACUAAGAUCUUAAAAUUAAAGAGAAACAAAAACUUACAAAAUCACAUGAAAAUAUAAUGCUUUAAAGAGACUGAGAAUAAUUGUCUUCUUUUGUGCUUUCAUAGAAUGCUAAAAGAAACCAAAUUCUGAUCUUCUUUGUGUUCAUCUCACAUUAGGUUUGUAUUCCAUCCGGAAUUUGUGUAUGGUGUGAGAGAAAGGACAAGACCUGACCUAGUUUUGUUAAUUUUCCUCUUAUUUUUAAAAAUUUUAUGGUUUGGUAUAUGCUACCAUAAUUGAAACCUCAGAUUCUCCUCACAAAUUACUUUAUGCCAAGUGGUAUAGUAUCUGUUAAUUAGUGGGUAAAUAGUGUUUUUAAAGAAUGCAGUCAUCUAAAAUUUCAAAAUAUAAGGCUCAUUUGUAUGAAUUAAUUAUUUUAGAUGGCAAAUGAGGAAAAUUAUUUCCAGAUUAUUUUUUCUUAUAUUUUUUUAAAAGUUGGCUUUAAGGGAGCACGUUUCUCUUUGAGGGUGGCCUGUUUCAUUGUCAAUAUUUGCUCUUCAUUGGAAGCUGAGGUCAUGUCAGAGUUACUCAGGAGAAAGACCUGGACUUUUCUUCUUAUCUUUUAAUGGUUUAUCAUUGAUAAGUUUGGACAUGAUGUCCCUAGAUUCAAAGGGGAAGAGGCAAAAUGUAUUAAAUGCUGUCUUACACAUAGACUACAAGGGAUUUACUUGGCCAGGGAGAGAACAGGGUUGAUUCUGAGCUGGAGAGAAUGAGGAUGGCUUCUGUGAAGGAGAUGACCUAAAGCAGGGCCUCGAAGUUUAAGGUCUUAUGUUUAGGAACUAGUUUCUCUCCACCUUAAUCCUUUAUUGUCAAGUCUGCAAUAAUGUUAAGAACAGGAAAAAAAAAUGUAGAUUCCUGGAUAGGCACAGUUUUUAUAUUAAUGUAACUAUAUAGGCAUAGUUUUUAUAUUAAUGUAACUAUACAGCACCUAUUUUUGUGUUUUACUAUUACUUGGCAGACAUCUUGAGUGUUUUACAAGGUUAUCGUAUAUUUCACUAAUAAUCGUUGCUUGAUAAUUUGGUGUCCUGACAGACUGCAGUUUAUUAUUUAGUAUUAAAGCUCUCAAAUGUAUUUAUUGAGCACCUGCUGGGUACAAGGCUUUGAGCUUAGUGAUGAAAGCAUAUGACAUAGUCUGUAGCCUCAAAUUUUCUAUAAUCUCGUGAUAAAAAGACUGAAGGCCAUUAUGGCUGGACAGUUAAGGGAGAGUGACCUAAAUAAAGUUCAUAUUGGCGGGAGAGCAGCUUGCCACAGGGUUACACAGAAUAGGCAGUGGUGGUCCACAUAAUUAAUAGCUUUAUCAUAUGAGAUUUAAGGAUUGUUUGGAAAUAUUGUUAGAAUCAAAAUCAACGUUUGUUACUACACAGGGUUGAGCAUUCCAGGCACACUCUGGUCGUUUUGUUAUUCUAAUGUCCACUUAUUUCAUGUCUGCCGUGACCGUGACAGUUUUCAGUCACACAGAGCUGCCAUCAAAAGAGUGAUAAGCUUGUAAGUGAAGCCUUUGGGGAAGCAAUAAAGUCAUUUUUCUGGUCCCAUCUCAAAAGACAUUAUUGGAAAUUUAUUUAAAAGUGAUCAAGGUAGCACAUACGAGGCCUUCUACAGUUUGCAUUUUGGAAGUUAUUAACAAUCUGCAGUUAAGUCCAUUUAAAACUGAAAGUGGCUCUUCCACAAACUACUUUUUAAAUAGCUUGCUGGUUCUAAAUUUAAGGAGAAUGGAAAUAUUGGAAAUUAAAAGUCAAAAGAAAUUUCUGGGGCAUAAGAUCCUUUCAAGUUUACAAUUUCUCACUUUAGAUUUAAAACUUGAACACGGCCAUACUUUGCAUUUUAUGAUAUCUAAUUAGUGCCUUGUAAUAUAUUUUGUGAACAGUAUCUGUUAGCCAUAAUAUCAGGGACAGUUUAAAAAAUCUUCAGUACAUUUAUGAUAAAAGUAUUAGCAUUGUAAGGUCUUAAAUUGACAUCUAGGACAUUAGGAAAUCAAAUUUAAAGCAUUGCAUUGUCUGUUACUCAAUGGAGUGGACUGAGGACAGCGUGUGACUUGUGUACUGCAAAUGAUGCAAUAGCUAAAUAUCCUAGUGUGAGUUAAGGUUGAUUAAGUGAUCAUCUUUAACUCUGCUUUUCCCAGGGCUCUUUGAACUCUUGUUUUAUUAGGUAAUAUGCUAUGCUGUUAUUUUAUUGCUGUUUAAAAAACCUUCUCUUUUGGGAAAGAAAACAUGUGAAUUCUUUGGUUUCUAGAUAGAAAUUAGCAAUCUUUUGCUCGGAAUGUAAAAGUAUGCUGUAUUAUCACAAACUGACCCUCCUCCUCCCCAAGAAUUCUAGGGAGUAAAAUGCGUGCACAGGAAAUCAGAAAUGGAUCAACAGAGUUAUAGGUUUUAAAAAAACUGCCUUGCAUUUUUGCCCUGGAAUUAAUUUUCAGUGAAAAUUAAAAUAUUUUUUCUGU
rnacentral:lncRNA from 1 species